AUUUCUUCCUGUUGUGUUUCACCUGCUUUGCCUGGAAACUUGAAUCUAAGAUGUGUGCCCACCCUACCAACGAGGAACAAUGGAUCAGCUGGCAUCGAGGGCAUUCUUUCCCAAGAAACCCAGCUUUAAAAUGUUUCCACAGUGGGCUGGAUUGAAGUGCAUUUGAAAGCACAACGGGUUGAAUCCUGUUUUGUUGUCCCCAUCCCUGAUGACACAGCCCCACUGUGUUCUUCUUAUUACAUAAAGGGCACCCCUUCUGAGUAAAGAUGAAGUCAGGGAGUUUCUGUAGAG
rnacentral:lncRNA from 1 species